GUGCAGCAGGCGAGAAACCUUCGCAAUGCGGGAAACCGCGACGAGGGGACUCCCAGUGCCUACGCUCAGCGUAGGCUGUUCCCGAGCCUAGAAAGCUCGGGGAGUAAGGGCUGGGUAAGGCGGGUGCCAGCCGCCGCGGUAAUACCCGCAGCCCGAGUGGUGGCCACUAUUAUUGGGCCUAAAGCGUCCGUAGCCGGCCCGGUAAAUGCCUGGGUAAAUCGUGAGGCCUAACCUCACGAAUUCCGGGUAGACUGCCGGGCUAGGGGACCGGAGGAGGGAGAGGGUACUCCAGGGGUAGGGGUGAAAUCCUGUAAUCCCUGGAGGACCACCGGUGGCGAAGGCGCUCUCCUAGGACGGGUCCGACGGUGAGGGACGAAAGCCAGGGGAGCGAACCGGAUUAGAUACCCGUGUAGU
rnacentral:rRNA from 1 species